CACGGAGGGUGCAAGCGUUAAUCGGAAUCACUGGGCGUAAAGCGCACGUAGGCGGCCUUGUAAGUCAGGCGUGAAAGCCCUCGGCUCAACCGGGGAACUGCGCUUGAUACUGCUUGGCUUGAGUAUCGGAGAGGGUGGCGGAAUUCCAGGUGUAGGAGUGAAAUCCGUAGAUAUCUGGAGGAACACCGGCGGCGAAGGCGGCCACCUGGACGAAUACUGACGCUGAGGUGCGAAAGCGUGGGGAG
rnacentral:rRNA from 1 species